ACAAAAAGCCCGGGGCUUUGCAAAAACAAUAGCUUAAUCCAGUCGUGUGGCAAGAUCAACCAAAACUAGGAGGGAAAAGAAAUACCGUUUGAAACACUUAAGAGCCAAUCCCUGUGAAUCUGAAAAUGCACAUAUUCUACAAUCCUAAGAGACACUCCAACACCUGCAAAGUCAGGACAAGACUUUUAGGUUCAUCUUCCUGGCUCUCCUCCAGAGGUGUGUGGCAGCAGGCAGAAGUCUGGCAGUGUGGGAGGAGACACACACAGGCCCAGAAGCUAUGGCCCAGAAGCUACGGGAGAUAUCAGUGUAUAGAUGGAGAACUGAGACAUUAAGAGGCUAAAUAAAGUGCCCAAGAUCACAGAGUGAGGUGUGAAGUACAAAUGGAACUCCAAGUCCUCUGAACUCCAAAGCCAGUAUUCUUCACCAGAACAAUCAGAUUGUCUCACCAGGACUUUAUUAUUUUUUUAAUGUCUAUUUAUUUAUUUAUUUAUUUAUUUAUUUAUUUAUUUAUUUAUUUUGAGAGAGAGAGUGCGCAUG